UACAGAGGGGGCAAGCGUUGUUCGGAAUUAAUGGGAGUAAAGGGUGCGUAGGCGGCGUUGUAAGUAGAACGUGAAAUCCCCGGGCUCAACCCGGGAACUGCGUCCGAUACUGGAAGGCUUGAAUCCGGGAGAGGGAUGCGGAAUUCCAGGUGUAGCGGUGAAAUGCGUAGAUAUCUGGAGGAACACCGGUGGCGAAGGCGGCAUCCUGGACCGGUAUUGACGCUGAGGCGCGAAAGCCAGGGGAGCAAACGGG
rnacentral:rRNA from 1 species